CAGCCGCCACGGUAAUACGGAGGGUGCAAGCGUUAAUCGGAAUUACUGAGCGUAAAGCGUGCGCAGGCGGUUUGUUAAGACAGAUGUGAAAUCCCCGGGCUCAACCUGGGAACUGCAUUUGUGACUGGCAGGCUAGAGUAUGGCAGAGGGGGGUGGAAUUCCGCGUGUAGCAGUGAAAUGCGUAGAUAUGCGGAGGAACACCGAUGGCGAAGGCAGCCCCCUGGACAAAGACUGACGCUCAGGUGCGAAAGCGUGGGGAGCAAACAGGAUUAGAUACCCCAGUAGUCCCUGUCUCUUAUAC
rnacentral:rRNA from 1 species